rnacentral:rRNA from 1 species
GAUGAACGCUGGCGGCGUGCCUAAUACAUGCAAGUCGAGCGAACGGACGAGAAGCUUGCUUCUCUGAUGUUAGCGGCGGACGGGUGAGUAACACGUGGAUAACCUACCUAUAAGACUGGGAUAACUUCGGGAAACCGGAGCUAAUACCGGAUAAUAUUUUGAACCGCAUGGUUCAGAAGUGAAAGACGGUCUUGCUGUCACUUAUAGAUGGAUCCGCGCUGCAUUAGCUAGUUGGUAAGGUAACGGCUUACCAAGGCAACGAUGCAUAGCCGACCUGAGAGGGUGAUCGGCCACACUGGAACUGAGACACGGUCCAGACUCCUACGGGAGGCAGCAGUAGGGAAUCUUCCGCAAUGGGCGAAAGCCUGACGGAGCAACGCCGCAUGAGUGAUGAAGGUCUUCGGAUCGUAAAACUCUGUUAUUAGGGAAGAACAUAUGUGUAAGUAACUGUGCACAUCUUGACGGUACCUAAUCAGAAAGCCACGGCUAACUACGUGCCAGCAGCCGCGGUAAUACGUAGGUGGCAAGCGUUAUCCGGAAUUAUUGGGCGUAAAGCGCGCGUAGGCGGUUUUUUAAGUCUGAUGUGAAAGCCCACGGCUCAACCGUGGAGGGUCAUUGGAAACUGGAAAACUUGAGUGCAGAAGAGGAAAGUGGAAUUCCAUGUGUAGCGGUGAAAUGCGCAGAGAUAUGGAGGAACACCAGUGGCGAAGGCGACUUUCUGGUCUGUAACUGACGCUGAUGUGCGAAAGCGUGGGGAUCAAACAGGAUUAGAUACCCUGGUAGUCCACGCCGUAAACGAUGAGUGCUAAGUGUUAGGGGGUUUCCGCCCCUUAGUGCUGCAGCUAACGCAUUAAGCACUCCGCCUGGGGAGUACGACCGCAAGGUUGAAACUCAAAGGAAUUGACGGGGACCCGCACAAGCGGUGGAGCAUGUGGUUUAAUUCGAAGCAACGCGAAGAACCUUACCAAAUCUUGACAUCCUUUGACAACUCUAGAGAUAGAGCCUUCCCCUUCGGGGGACAAAGUGACAGGUGGUGCAUGGUUGUCGUCAGCUCGUGUCGUGAGAUGUUGGGUUAAGUCCCGCAACGAGCGCAACCCUUAAGCUUAGUUGCCAUCAUUAAGUUGGGCACUCUAAGUUGACUGCCGGUGACAAACCGGAGGAAGGUGGGGAUGACGUCAAAUCAUCAUGCCCCUUAUGAUUUGGGCUACACACGUGCUACAAUGGACAAUACAAAGGGCAGCGAAACCGCGAGGUCAAGCAAAUCCCAUAAAGUUGUUCUCAGUUCGGAUUGUAGUCUGCAACUCGACUACAUGAAGCUGGAAUCGCUAGUAAUCGUAGAUCAGCAUGCUACGGUGAAUACGUUCCCGGGUCU